UCUUGGCUUUUCAUGCACAGUUUUAUUUCUUUGUGCUUUAUGUUUUAGCCCUUGAUGAUGACUGGUUUAUCAGACGAUAUGGUCCAGACUUUAGCUGCUAAGCCCUUGCCUUUGUUUUGUGUGUGUGGCUCACACAUGCGAAGAACUAUGAAUAUUAAUUUAUAUUUCAACAGAAUCAAAUAAGAUGAUGCAGCUGUUCGGCGAAGAAACAAAAUAGGAAACAAAAACUAGCGAAUAGUGGAAUCUAUGGAAUUGAGAACCAAUCAUUGCAAUCAACACUUUCUGAUCAUCUUAGACCUUGCAGUGGAAAUAAAAGUUUGCUUUGACCUGAAUUCUUCAUCCAAGCAGGACAGCUCUGAAUUGAAUUGGAAGAUUGAUCUUUGAGCUUGAGGCUGAUUCAAUAGACAACAAAAAAUGCUUUAUGUAACCAAUAUUCGCAUUUUUUCCACACUUGCGGCUGGAAUUUCUCAAAACCCUGCCUAAUCGUGCACCUCUAUCAAGAAACGUAGCUACAGUAAAAAUUUCAAAAUCCUAGCACUUACUGUUCGGGCUCUCACUCGGGAAAAAUUAUUUUGUAUAAGGAAAUAGGCC